CUUAUUUUUAGGUAGAAGCCCUCAGUGGGCAGUAAAUUACCCAUAAUAUCCCCCAAACUAGCAAUUAGCCCUGUUUGCUGACUACCUGAAUUGUUUCACAGUAGUUCAGCACAGUCUUACCAGUUAUCACCAUACUUAUAAUCAGAGAUUCCGUGUAUGAUUCCCGCAGCUCCACAUACUGCCUGCCUAAGGUCAGCAGGAAUAACAAAUACAUUUUAUUUGCUUCUUUUGGCCCUUUAAAGCUGUUUUCUCAGGCUACAAUAUGUGAGGAAAGCUGAUGCUGCUGUGCUGCUUAACUGGCAAGAAUUUGAAAAGAGGAAGCCAUUCGCAAGUGUAGGUGUACUUUGGUAUUAGUUAAUAUUUAUUUGUUUGUGUUAUUCUGUAUUUAUUCCCUUAUUAGCAGACAGUCCUGCCUGGAGACUGAGCUUUCUACCAAUUUCUGAGGUUUGCUCUUCAGAAGUUCUAACACUGGAAGACAUUUUUCAACACGAGCCUGUAACUGAGGAGUGGAAAACAGGAAAAUAUGGAAUCAAAACCCUAUGGAAUUUUUUCCCUGAAGGUGGCAGAGCAGUUUUCAUAUCCCCAAAUAUGAAAAAUAGUAAUUCAGCUCAGAAAACAGUAGCUAUAUUGCCUGUUUCAGCAGUAGAAACAAUCAUGGGCCUCCACAUGCACACAAAUACAAGCACACACAUCCUAACAGCAGCAUUGGGCUUAAAGAAAGAAAACUAAGUAAAAAUGAGACUAAUAAGGCAUUUGAAAAAGAAUAUAGAAAUGUUUGGACCCUGAGCAUUAAAGAUAUUUUUUUAAGUGCUGCACACAUCUUUCUGAGUAAUGCUUUAAUUGACAUAUUAUUUCUCAGGCAAAAUCCCACUGAAUUAACUUAGUGCCACCAUUUAAACCCCAUUUUCAGUGCUGGUUCUGUGUCACAUUACACUGACAUUACACUGACAUUACACAUACAUUCUUGUAUUCCUGUCUCUGAUCUGAUGGACUAGAUCCGGGUAAUGAAGGAGAUGGAACAGGAAUUCAUGUUCAAAAGGAACAACUAAAGACUGGCUCUCCUUUGCAGAGGCACGCUGAGAAGCAGAGAAAACAAAGGCCAAUGGUACAGAGAGGACUGUAACUAAAAGAAUUACUUCCCUCUCUGUUGGGUUUUAAGCCAGGACAAGGAGGCAAGAGUCAUAUGACCAACUUUACAAUCCCAAGAAUCUCCCAAAAUGGGCCCAAACUUUUGCUAUUCCAGCAGUAGAUCCUCAGGUAGGGAGUCCAUGACUCCCAGUUAAUGGCUUACUGAGGCAGUGACCAGCUUGGCACUCAAGGGGAAAAGGGAAGACUUGGUGGUGACAGUGCCAGCACACUCGUUUUUCAGAAGAAGAACUUGUUUUCCAGAAAAAAAAAUAAAGACCUUUGGGUUGAAUGUUGUUUCCAUCCUUACUAAUCAGGCCUUGACUAAGAAAAGUCCAAAUAAACUGAUCAUAAAUUAAGUCAUCCCCAUUGUGAGCAUGAACACACAUACCUGGCCAAGGCAGGCAAAAGCAGAUUGAUGAAACAACAAAGUUCACCUUGUUUUGUGAGCUGAAAGCUCACGCUGUUUCUUGGCAGAACAGGCAUGUCAGGCCUGUAAUAACCACUUGCUACCUUGCUUCAAUCAGCAUUGAAACCAGCACAGUAUUAACAUCUUGGGGAAAAUCCAUCUGGAAACUGCUUUCCGGGGGAAAAAAAUGAAAGGGAGAUAACGGAAUACCACACCCCCUGAUUAUUUAUUUGUUGAUUUCACAGUAACUUUAAGGAACUGAAAAUUUCUCUCCCCAUCACCUGAAAAUGUCCUAUUUCAAACAUUUUAUGUCCAUUCAGCUGAAUUCCUGUUCAGAAACAAGUGGCAAAGAACAGCCGUUCUUCACCUGAAGGAAAACCACUUGUCUGGCAGAGGCAGAGGUCAGUAUUUGCUGUUUGGUUUUACUUUGGAGGAGUUUCUGUGGGCACAUCUUCCCAUGCCCAGUACAGCAGGGUGGCAUCACUGGGACAAAGCCAAGCUGGCAGAGCUGGGCAGAGCAUCCCCAAGCUGGGAUUCAGAGCAACCCCACUGACUUCGAUGUGGGCAUCUGUUGCACUGACACCUCAGGGGGUUGAGGUUGGAACACAAGAGCUGAACUUUAAAAAUACUUCCAAAAAUGUUACUUUUUGCUGAAAAGAUAAUACUCAAAUUGACUUUUCCUUUUGCCUCCUGAUGGCCUGGUAUGAAUAUACACUUGGCAUUAUUCUGCAUCACUUCUUCUUUCUGUUGGAUCAACUAACAUGAUGAUAGUUUCAGGAUGCAGAGGAUACUUAUGUUUGGCAUUAAAAAAAUUACAUUAUGUAAAUCCUGUUGUUGGAAAAUUAAUACAAAGUCAUCUGGGUAAGUGAGCCAAAGAAAGCCUUUCCUUUAUAUUUUUCUGUGAUUUUUUUUUCCUCUUUUUCCUGAAGCAUUGCUGAAGUUUGAAGACAGUAGUGAAGACGCACAGCACACAUGCUCUAAAAUGUAUCUACCCUAUGUGAAUGUACCCUGUACUGCUGGUGCAGCUUGGAAGCUCACUGGGCACGUUUUGGAGACUUUUAGCAUCUCCAAUAUAUUUCUGGAAAGGAAGCAAACAAUCCAGGGCCUAGACACUGGACUUUUAAAUUAACAAAAUAUGUAUUGCUUACUCUGAAAAACACUUUGCCAAAAAAACUGGGCUAAGGAGAUGUCAUUUGGCACUGGAUUAAUUUUAGAUGAAGUUUUAGGACCAGCCUAGGUUGUAAGUUUGUAUUCAAUGGUGUUUAAAAGUAAUGCCCUGGCCAGUAACUGCUGGGAUCAGGCUCUGCCAAAUUUCUGUCACCUUGGGCUUCAUUAGCAUUUGAAAACAGACCUCUCUUGGCUUUGUGUCUCACUGAAAAACAAACCACCGGGGCUGGUCCGCAGCCCUCUCGUUUGGCCAGGGGUGUAGAGCUGCCUCAUGCGCUCAACUUUAAUUUUAAAGUUCAUUUUUUCACUGCAGCUCUUCAAAAGUUACCAGAGUGAAGGCUCCUGUUUACAACGGUGAAGAGUAACUCACGUAAACUCCUAAAGGACCCACAAGCAUUGGCUGACUCACUAUUUAGCAGAAUGAGAAGAAUGAGCAUCAGGUAACGGGAUACAAGUGGAAAACUCUCUGUGAUGCCCAUGGAUAUCAGUACAAACCCCUUCUUUCAAUGCCAAGGUUAUGGGACACUUGUUAAGAGCACAGAAAGGAGUCAGAAGUACGGCUUUUACUGACUGCUCUGCAGCUCAACAUCUCUGGCAUUCAAAACAUACAACUUCUGUGUUUGUACUACAUUUCCCUAACAGCUUACAUCGAGGCCAAACACACAGCGUUCUGCAAAGGUCCUCUAAAAUAAGCUUAUUUAAAAGAGCAAGGUCAAUGCCCAACACAUGUCAGAUUCUGUGAGCAGAAAUCAAAGAGUUCGGAGCAAAUGGAAUAUGUCAGAACUCGGUGGAUUUCCAUGCCAGGCUCUUUUACCAAGUUCACUUUGCUGCUGCCAAAACCAGUAACAAUUUCAUCAUAUGGACUUCAGCUUUGGAAAAGUGUCUGAAAAAACCCCCAGUCUCUGUACAUGGGCCACUUAGCUCAAUAAAUAAAACUAAGGCAUAAAUGUGUUUAUCUGGACAUGCUAUUUAUUGUCCCUGUAACUGUAUUUUUCCUUUAAUGGGACACACGCUGAUUCCAUGCUUCAGCCCUAGGCUCUAUUAAAAUCAAAUUAAAAGCAUUAGUAAUGUAGUUAAUUCCAUUUAUAACAUGGCCAUCAAGAGAAAAGAGAAUAUUAAAAUAGGAAAAAAAUAUAAAUGGGAUUUAAAUUUUUUUUUAAAAAACAUAGUUCCAUUUUGAUCUCUGCAUUUUUUUUAAUAAAAAAGGGAAAACUUUUUCCUCUGUUCAGAUAAAGUAACUCUGCCCUGGUCUU